rnacentral:rRNA from 1 species
UACGUAGGGUCCAAGCGUUAAUCGGAAUUACUGGGCGUAAAGCGUGCGCAGGCGGUUGUGUAAGCCAGAUGUGAAAUCCCCGGGCUUAACCUGGGAACUGCAUUUGUGACUGCAUGGCUAGAGUUUGGCAGAGGGGGGUAGAAUUCCACGUGUAGCAGUGAAAUGCGUAGAUAUGUGGAGGAACACCGAUGGCGAAGGCAGCCCCCUGGGUCAAGACUGACGCUCAUGCACGAAAGCGUGGGGAGCAAACAGG